rnacentral:lncRNA from 1 species
AGCAUCAGCUACAUCACGAGAAGAAUUAGAAGACGACUCUGCCAUCACGAGAAGAAUUAGAAGAAGACUCUGCCACGAGAAGAAUUAGAAGAGGACUCUGCAAUAACAAAACGAGCAUCAGCUAAUCCAUCACCAUUAUCGCAGAAAUAGACACUGAAUUGGCCACCAAAAACAGCAAUAUCCCAGAUUGUUGACCUCCAAAAUCAGCUCCAGCAAACCCUACAGAAUCGCCAUUGUUGGUUAGAGAAAUGGAAGCG